CACUUCAAAUAUACAAAAACUCUGAAAUCCAAUUACUAACUCCAUAACUACAAUUAUACAAUUAUGCAGGUUUUUGUUCGUCCCGUAAAUUGAAAUUUAAAAUAGUUUCAAACACACAAUGUCUAUACAUUUUUACGGGUAGUAGCCAAUAAAUACUUUGAGUGCACUGAUAGUAACCCCUUUUCUUCUGUUUUUUCUCUUUAAAGUUUGUACUAUCUGUAUUUGUUUUAUCAGAUUAACUGUUACCUCACUGAAGAAAAAGAGAGACAACAAAUGAGCAGUUGGUCACUGAUAAGCAGCAUUCCUCGCUCAGCAGAGGGGAGCAGGCUCUGUCUCUGCUGUCGGCAAAUGUUAAAACAGUGGGGGUGAACUACUGUGACCCCCUCCUCACACACACACACACACAGUACACAGGGAAGGGUAAACACAAGGACACCAGUCCUUGUUUUUUCUUUCCAGGCCUGUGCUGUGGAGAGCAGGGAGAACAUUUGGAUGAGUGGACAAACUUUUGCCGGUGUCCAAUUUGGUGCAGAGUCAGAGACUGGUCAUGACCCGGGACAACAGAAGGGAGAAGACGCACAUAACAAAUGUGCAGACACCGACACAGAAAGCUUGAAAAGUUUUGUACCGAGUUGAAAGACGUGAUUGGGUGCUCCUGUGUUUAAGGGUGUGUCUCCUGCACCAUCUCUGUCCGUUCCACUGUGAUACACCAGGGAAGAGACGGCAGACGUUUGAACAAAGAGUGUCUACGGUGAGUGUUGUGUGCUCUUGUCCUGAUCCUGUGAGGAGGCUCUGAUAGAGGCUCUACAUUUGUCUGACUGCUGUUUUUUUGUGUCUUUAAUGCACUUUGUGUCAGAAAUUGCACAGAAACUCCCUCAGGGCAGACUACAUAAGGAGUUUGUGGUCUGGCCCUGGCUUCUCUUACUUGACACAAUGCAGGUCUGUCAUAUUUGUUUCACAGUCAAUCAGUCAAACUGUGUAGGUGUAUGGCGCUUAUUAUCAACUGGCUUUACAAACAUCGACUAGCCUACAGUAUGUGAGAAGCAUGUUUUUUUACGGAGGUGACCUCACAUCCAGUUCUGAUCCAACUCCU